UGAAGCUACAAAACUCAGCAUCCGAGGU
rnacentral:piRNA from 1 species